GGGGCGGAGCCACGUGCGCGCAGGCGCACUGGGGCUCGAGAUGCGCAUUAAAACCUGACUUAAGCCCGGGACUACCGGUGGGCUGUCAUUUGUCGGAAAGCGCACUUCGACAUCUCCUUUCGCUUCUCAUCCUGUGUCACUAUUUGUGCAACAGUAUUGAAAAACAAAAAAUUUAAUUGGCGGGAUCCGACAGUCACGGCGCAGAUCUUACGUUGGCGGCUCUGUGGGCGGCCUUUGGCCUGAGAAGCAGAGCAUUCUGGGAACGCCGGAGACGGAAAUUACUCGCCUCAUGCU